UUUAGAUAAUGUGAUUAUAAAAAUAGCGGGUGAGUUUCACACAGUGCACAUAAUCUAUUGCUGCAUCAAGAAGAGAGUCAUAAGGUACGAUGGAGGUAGCCAAUUUCAAAGUCCUGAUCACUGUUCUUCUCAUCUGCGGACUAAUGACAUGUCAUAUCGCGUCUGGAAUUUGGGCCAGUCGAAAUGGUGUAUAUUUGAAAAAGAGAAACGCACAGACGUGUGAUGCGUGUCGCUUUGGUGACAAAGGGAGAAACUUAAUGGAAAAGAACCAAAAAAGGG